rnacentral:lncRNA from 1 species
CCAAGUAGAAAGUGGCAGUUAAUAUUUGAACCCAAGUACUUUGUCUCCAAAUCAGCAUCCUUUCUACAAGACCCAGUACUAAGAAUCAUCCACUUGUUAGAUCAUCUAUGAAUAGAUAAUGUAGAUAACAUUCUCCCUGGAAUUCUGCUAAAUUCUUUCAUGAGAUUCUUUAAGAGCUUGGAAUUUGACCACAUAAGACCACUGGUAUAGAAUUCAAAUCAAGAUUUCAAACUGGAAGAGACCUUAAAGUGAUCUAGUUCUUUUUUUUUUUUUAUUUAAGAAAUGAAGAAACUGAGGCUGAGAGAGUCUAAUUGAUUGUCCCAGAAUCUUGCUCUGAGAUGCAGCCAAAUAAUUUCCUGACACCUGAUGUUCCAGGGCACCUUUGCACCGACUGUCUUCCAAGUCUAGAAUGAACUACCACCUCCACCUCACAGAAUACCACAGCUCUUCCUUCAAGAUGCAAAUCAGGGAAAAGAAUAAAUGCAAAGGCUGAGGACUGAGCCCCAUUUCUCCUACCAGAGACAUCUUUACCAGGAACAGAGGAGCCUCAGUAGGACUGAAGCAAGACAGACAUGGUGGAAGCAGCCUAGACCGCUGGAAUUGACUACCUCUACAGCCAAUCAAAAAGAAUCGGACUCACUAUGUGUUGGAAUGUGGAUUUCUUAA